rnacentral:rRNA from 1 species
GGGUGGAGUACACGUGGGCUACCUGCCCCUCGCAGGGGGAUAACCGGUAGGUAAACUCCGGCUAAUACCCCGUAAGCUUUCAGGGUCGCAUGGCUCUGUAAGGAAAGGUAGCUUCGGCCAUCCGGGAGGGAUGGGCCCGCGGUGCAUUACUAGUUGGUGGGGUAAUGGCCCACCAGAGGCGACGAUGCGUAGCUGGUCUCGAGAGGAUCGAUCAUGCCGCACUGGGACUGAGACACGUAACAAGACUCUAUACGGGAGGCAGCAGCCAGGAAUCUUGGGCAAUGGGCGUAAAGCCUGACCCUAGCAACACCGUGUGGGCCAUGAAGGCCUUCUGGGUCGUAUAAGCCCUGUUCGAUAGGGACGAAGGGCGAAGGGUUAAUAGCUCCCUAGGCCUGACGGUACCUUUCGAGGAAUGCCCCGGCUAACUACGUGCCA